UUAAAAGAAAAGUGAUAUUUAGAAACUUUAAGCAACUUGUUCAAGCAACAAAAGGCAGAGCUGUCUACGGACUCCAAAACCCACACACGGGCCACUACGUUGCUGCCAUCAUUACUGCCAGAAUACAAUGAUGUGGCUAAAUAAAUGCAAAACUCGAUGACUACCUUCAUUCCGCCAUGUCAGACCAAACAUGAUGGCAUGGCCAGAUGAGCACAGCAUCCUUCACAUCCGAAGGCGAUAGGAGUCUCUUCAAUCUGUGUAAUGAUUUCCCAGCCAUACCUCCAACCUGCUUGGCUUGGAGCCACUGGGCAUGAACACUGAGCAAAGAAUGCAUAGUCAAACACAACUUGGCUUAAGGAAAAACAAGAGUGAAGAAGCAAAGCAUAUCACAGGGUGUUUGGGGCCUCUCUGCAUUUUAAUUUUCUGAUUAAUAAAGUGUGAAUUAGACUAGUGCUUUAUAGGGAUGUCUAUAUAAUCAUGAGAAACUCAGUUUCUGUGUUUUUUUUUUUCCCUCUACAUGUAAAGCAAAAUACUUGAGGAAAGAAUUCCUACAACAGAAUCAAGUUUAUAUGGGCUCGUCCACAUGAUGCCAGAACUGGCCUAUCCUGAAAAACUGUCUAGUGGAGCAGUGCAACUAAGGCCUCUUACAACAGCAAUACUCUAGGAUAUUACACAAUAAAGGCUUUUCAGAAGACAGUCACUUUACAGUCGGCUGGGUUCUUUCCAGAAUAUCAUAGGGUGUUUGAGGAUUUUUCUCUAGCAUCCUGCCAAGAGGCUCCCCACACAUAGUGGGUGAAUGCUGCUCUAAGGUUCCACUGAGGGGUUCCUACAACUUCUAACUCAAUUCAGGUUGGAGAUGUUCAUGAUGAGUGAUAAGCAAACACUGACCCCAAAUUGAGAACGUGUGGUCUGUCCUCCCAGCUGAUUUCCUGAGCUGUCCUGGGCAUCUUUACCAAAACACUCCCUGUUCCAUAAUUUGUGAAGUCCAGCUAAGAGUUAUUUGUAAAUAAUUCUGCCCCACCCAUAAUAACUUCCUACACAUGUUAAUAUUUGUAAGAAAUGUUUCUGAAUUACGUGUUAAAGUAAUGUGGGGGUGCGCUUGGCCUCUGAAUCAAUCCUGCAUGUACUCUGCACACUUACCUUGCUAUAAGGACACUGCUUUUGCAACAUUGAUGUACAGUGAUGUUCUGAGUAGCAAACAAAACAAAACAAAACAUUCAAUCUGAUUUAAACAUAAAUUGCACACCUUUCAAAGAGCGAAGACUUUGGUAAAUGCAGUGAAUGUUGAAAGGCAAAACUGGUGACAUCUGACCCGCUCAUUUUGAAGACUUUAUAGUUGUGGUUUUUGUUUUGCCAAUGGUAAAAAUUGUUUGAUCUGGCAUUCCUUACCUAAAGCAAGUAAUAACAAUGUUCAAAUAUAUCUAAUUGCUUUCCAUUUCGUAAGAUACAGCCAUUUGCCUUAAAAUAGAAUAAAGUAAUACAUUCUUCCUAAGUCAGGGACAUUUUCUGGUAUUUUUACUGUAACCCGGACUGUGAUGUUUUCUAGUCAUUGAGAGGGGUAAAAAUCUGCUUUUUCUGGCCAUAAACAUAAACACACACGCUUAGAAGGUAACCUGCUGAGUGAUUAAGAGAAUUCAAGUGCUUCCGGACAAAAUUAAUGUGUCAUGGAAAAGAAAUACAGAAACAGUGACUAGGCUUGUGAAACUGCACCUGAAAAUACCAUAUAUACUCCUCUACAGGUAUAAAAGGGGCACCGCUUUUCAGUGAUACAUAUGCAACUGUUUUCUUCCUGGGCCAGUAUACAAGAUGAAAAGAAUUCUUGCGUUGUGGUGAUAGAUGGGAUUUCCUAGACACCAGCAUGAUGUUCACCAAGCUAAAGCUGUCUGGUUUAGCCUGGGUUAUUCUCUAAAGGGGCUAAACCA